rnacentral:rRNA from 1 species
UACGUAGGGACCGAGCGUUGUCCGGAAUCAUUGGGCGUAAAGAGCGUGUAGGCGGCCAGGUAGGUCCGCUGUGAAAACUCGAGGCUCAACCUCGAGAUGUCGGCGGAAACCAUCUGGCUAGAGUCCGGAAGAGGAAAGUGGAAUUCCCGGUGUAGCGGUGAAAUGCGCAGAUAUCGGGAAGAACACCCGUGGCGAAGGCGGCUUUCUGGGACGGUACUGACGCUGAGACGCGAAAGCGUGGGGAGCGAACAGG